rnacentral:pre_miRNA from 1 species
UUGAGCAAGAUGGAGAAGCAGGGCGCGUGCAUUACUAACUCAUCUGUGUUUUCACCUUAUGGAGCCGAUCAAUGAGUUAGUUCUUCAUGUGCCCGUCUUCCCCAUCAUGGUCAC